UGGGGUACCUGAAGUACGUAACCGACAAGGAGCGUCCUAGGGUAAAACCGAUAACUGGGGCU
rnacentral:rRNA from 1 species